GCUACCUGUACAGGUGUUGACAAUAUACAGCGCACUAGACCAUAUCUAAACCUCGAGUAAACAAACAAUUAACUUUAACAGUCCACCAGGAUUUCCUUUUUGUAUUGCGCUGCAGGACGACGGAAAAAUUUGCAGCCCAUGACACCGUGUUUGUUGGCGGAUUUAUUGACUCGAGUUAUCCCCCUUUAUGCAGACUGUUGAAUGGUGUUAUUGAUUCUGCGUGUGACGAAAGAAGAGAUCGAACGGUUUUAUUGUCUGUGAGGAUUAAUAGACUACAGGACAUUGAAGACCAAAUCUAAGUAUGCAACACAGAAGUGGCUAGAAUGUAAGACAGUCUCCAUUAAUUGAUGUUACUAAUGUGAAGUUCUGCUGAUGCCUGAUGAAAUUGAUGCAGAGAUCAAUCAGGUUCAAUUUAUUCUUAAAAGUCAAAACACUACACAGGAGAAGUCCCUUAAUGGUGAAAAUCUGAUAGAAGAUUGCCUGAGUACUGAAAGUUCCUUUUGCUGAGUGAAUUUAUGCCUUCUUAAUAUUUUAAAAUGCCG